GUGAAAGAAACUGGUGCAUCGCUCAAGAAGCGCCGAGAGCGCUGCCCGCUUCCUUACACGCACACACAGUUAGAUGCCCGCUUUCUUCCGGAUGCUCUCCUGGGAAUAUCAUGGAAAAGGAGGCGAUGAUGUGGGAUGCAAAUUCCCAUGUUUUCAUCAGUGAUCAUUUCUAAAGGCAACUGUCCCCAAGUUUAAGGAAAGCUGUGAAGUAGUCUACAUGACACUAAAUGUCUGCUUGCUACAGGCUGCUUCCAGGAUGCACCCACUUCCUGCUGGGUUUCAAAUUCAAGACAAUCCUGUCCACAUGACCCUCUUCUGGAAAUCAACUGCUUAACACCUGCACGAGCCUUCUGAAACACUGGGUCUCUGGAAAACCCUCUGACGGCAUAAAGGGUAGCCUACAGGGUCUAUGAAAAGCUUUGCCUGAGGGGAACCCAAAGAGGAAAGUUGUAGCUGUGUAAUUUUGUGCCAGGCAGCACAAAGAUAAAUUCCUAUUUUUCCAAUCUAAGGAUGUAUUAUAGCCUGGAAAGAUAUAAUUUAAACUUUUGAAAGCAGCAGUGAUAAAAUCCUCCUCCUCUCUGUUCUAUUUUGUUUGCUCCUUUCCUCUGCGCUUUCAUCCUGUUACCAUGAGCCACUCCCUUUCUUUUGAUGUCACCUCUUUCCCUUCCUUCCGUCAGCUCAUCCAUCCUUACAUACAACCGGCCUACCCCUUCACUGGAUAUACACAUUGUGUUGCAUAUGUAAGUGUAAAACUUCAACACGAAUACGACUGCAAAGAAAAAUUAUUAGCUAAUCCUUUAAAGAUAAAUGCAAAAUACUGAGUUAAUGUAUACUCCAGUCUUAUAAAAGAACAACAAAUCAUGAAUGAUGAGGAUUUUACUCUGUAAUGAGCAGUCCACGUCAUUAACAAAAUGCUAACAAUCAACAGGUGAAAGAAAAACAGUACCUUAAACGGGAACCAGGGAAUAUUUUGCCCGUAUCUUGAUAAAAAUUUUAAGCAAUUUAAAAAUAUAGGAACAUUCACUCAUUUGUUAUGAAGUAUGGUUCCCCAAACUAAUAGAGAUGUAAUAUUAGAUGGCAAAACAUCGAAAUCCCCCCACUGAAAGAGAAGUAACUCAGAAGCUCAGGGUCACUUUGCAUCACUGCGUUAUAUUAGCAGUGAAAAAAGGCAGAGAGAAAACCAGUACGGAGUUGGAGAGACAAGAUAAAAUGCCGCUAUAAGAUCAUACGAUUUAGAAGUCCGAAAGAUAUGACAAAUAACAUACGAACCAAGAAAUUUGGUUAAGCUUGAUGCAUGAAGUCGAUUCUUUUCUUCUAAGCCAUAAAUAAUACAUAAAAAUGUGACAUAUAAAUGACUUUAUUUCACAUGCUCAACAAAACCUAAAAAGUAGCCAGGAAUAAGGAGGACAAGAAAAAUUUUUUGCAUACAUAUAAUUUGCAUAUGUAUGUAAUAUUUACAAAGGAAGACACAGAUAGAUACACACACAUGUCCCAAUAACAAAGGAUAAAUAAACAGAAUAAAAGGGAAGAUUUAUUCAACUGGGGACAGGAAAGUAUGCCUUUCUACCCUAUGUAGCUCUCCCCUGAUUUUAAUAAUCAACACAUCUUAUUAAAUUCAGUUUUUAUAGUAAGUUAUGGUCUGCCAAGUUCAUAAUUCUGAAUGCCAUACAAGGCUGAUCGUCUGCAAAAACAGCCUCAGAAAUGUUGAAAAAUGUGCGAAGGGAAAUCAAAAGCCAAGUGUAUAAGUGUACUACAAUGAGAAUAUGAAAAUCAUAGCAGUUCUUAAAGAGAAAAAAUACUUAUUAGGGUUUUUAAACUACCAUGGCCUAAAAAAAAGAGUGCAUCAAAAAUUACUAAAAAUAUUUGAGAAAACCAGGGGAAGAGACAAAAUAAAAUUGAAUACGUCAUCAAGAUGAAGCAAAAAUAAUAGAAUUGAUGGCAAAUUUAGUGGCAGGUACAGGCAAAAUCCUCCAAAAUAAAGUUCAAAUUGAAAAGGUGAUUGUUGCCGGUGGUAGUGACGGUAAGAAUAACUGUGUGGUUACUGAAGCAGUUCCCAUGUUCUGAUCUAAUAACUGAACUAUAGGGUGCCUCACACCCUCUAUUUAUUUUGUAUCUAUUGAGUGUUUCAGGUUUGCUCCUGGCCAGGAAAGCCACGGCGAAGCUCGCCAGGGCCAGGGAGCCCAGGUAUCCCAGGACACAGUAGAAGG